rnacentral:tRNA from 1 species
GUCAGGAUGGCCGAGUGGUCUAAGGCGCCAGACUCAAGCUUGGCUUCCCCGUGUUGAGGAUUCUGGUCUCCAAUGGAGGCGUGGGUUCGAAUCCCACUUCUGACA